UUCAGAUUUGACUUAGUGGCGGACGGGUGAGUAAUGCAUGAGCAACCUGCCCUGCAGUGGGGGACAACAGUUGGAAACGACUGCUAAUACCGCAUGAUGUAUCUGGAAGGCACUUUCCGGAUACCAAAGAUUUAUCGCUGUGGGAUGGGCUCAUGUCUGAUUAGUUAGUUGGUGGGGUAACGGCCUACCAAGACUGCGAUCAGUGGCCGGACUGAGAGGUUGAACGGCCACAUUGGGACUGAGAUACGGCCCAGACUCC
rnacentral:rRNA from 1 species